rnacentral:rRNA from 1 species
GAUGAACGCUGGCGGCGUGCCUAACACAUGCAAGUCGAACGGAGAUUACGGACGGAAGUUUUCGGAUGGAAGACUGUAAUUCUUAGUGGCGGACGGGUGAGUAACGCGUGGGCAACCUGCCCUAUACAGGGGGAUAGCAGCUGGAAACGGCUGGUAAGACCGCAUAAGUCGGCGAGACCGCAUGGUUUUGCCGGGAAAUGAGCAAUCAGGUAUAGGAUGGGCCCGCGUCCGAUUAGCCAGUUGGCAGGGUAAAAGCCUACCAAAGCAACGAUCGGUAGCCGGACUGAGAGGUCGGACGGCCACAUUGGGACUGAGACACGGCCCAAACUCCUACGGGAGGCAGCAGUGGGGGAUAUUGCACAAUGGAGGAAACUCUGAUGCAGCGACGCCGCGUGAGUGAAGAAGUAUUUCGGUAUGUAAAGCUCUAUCGGCAGGGAAGAUGAUGACGGUACCUGACUAAGAAGCCCCGGCUAACUACGUG